CCUACGGGUGGCUGCAGUGAGGAAUAUUGGUCAAUGGGCGCGAGCCUGAACCAGCCAAGUAGCGUGAAGGAUGACUGCCCUACGGGUUGUAAACUUCUUUUAUAAAGGAAUAAAGUGAGGCACGUGUGCCUCUUUGCAUGUACUUUAUGAAUAAGGAUCGGCUAACUCCGUGCCAGCAGCCGCGGUAAUACGGAGGAUCCGAGCGUUAUCCGGAUUUAUUGGGUUUAAAGGGAGCGUAGAUGGGUUGUUAAGUCAGUUGUGAAAGUUUGCGGCUCAACCGUAAAAGUGCAAUUGAUACUGGCAGGCUUGAGUACAGUUGAGGUAGGCGGAAUUCGUGGUGUAGCGGUGAAAUGCUUAGAUAUCACGAAGAACUCCGAUUGCGAAGGCAGCUUACUAAACUAUAACUGACACUGAAGCACGAAAGCGUGGGGAUCAAACAGGAUUAGAUACCCCUGUAGUC
rnacentral:rRNA from 1 species